CGCCAAUUCAGUGCCUGGGGGCGACCUCUUAUCGCAAUUAAAGCGCUGCGCGGCUGUGGGUGCGCGAAUAAAACACGGAGACCCGUGGAUCUGCACGGGGAAACGUGUGACUGCAUGUCAGCUGUGAUACGUAUCGAUAUUUAUAAUGCGAUUAAUUAAUAACGCCGGUGUGGAUACAGCGAGAACCCGAGAUUUGCCUUUGAGCGUUCCGCUGCGUUCUCAGGUUUACUGUCAUCGCCCAGCCCGAAACCGAGCUUUGCCAAACAGGUGGGAAUUUAUUCCCCCAAGUGCGUUUGGGUGAGAGCAGAGCGGUGCGGGGCUCUGCCACGGAGAGGCGGUAGUGUGUCCGGGAGCGCUGCGGAGAUGGGAUGCACCGAUAGCAGCCGAUAGGGCCGAGCUUUGCACACCGGGUUUUGCACGUUGGGUCGUGCGUGCUGGGUUCUGCCAGGUUCUGCACGCAGCGUUUUGCACAGCGGCUUUGCGUGCUGGCUUCUGCAGACCGGGUUUUUGCACGUCAGUUUUGUCUGCUGGGUUUUGAGCGUUGGGAUCGGACAUUUGCAUGCCAGACUUUGCACACCGGGUCUACAGGCUGAGUUUUGCGCACCACAUCUUGCACACGAGGUUUGGCACAUCAGUUUUGUGCACCAUCUUUUACCAUCCGAUAACCAAGCUGAAGUGCUGUAAUUAGCUGAGCACAGAAGCAAUGCAGUCGAAGUCCUUCCGUCCGCCUCCUGCAUGCAGAGAAGCUGCAUCACAGCUCAGCAACACCUUGCACUGGGUGCAAUGAGUCUGAGGAGCACUGCAGCCAUGCCGUGGGUGCACAGCUCUGCAGGACUGCCAGAAAUUGGUCUUCUUUAGAAGGACUGAAGCAUUGCAUCCUUUCUGCAUGGUAUACACCCUUGUUAGCUGAAGAAGACACACAGAGCUGCCAAUGCAAGUGAGUUGCCAGAGCCUGCAAGCAGCACAAAAUGGAGGCCCAGGAGGAAUGCUGCAUUGCUUCGUGCCUGCUAAUUACUUCCAGAUGUAUGGGCUCUGCAGCAGCAGAGGAAAAUCUUAGCAGUUGGUGACCAUAUUUUGUGGCAUUCCUUUGUGCCCGGAGCACAUAGCAUGAUGCAGACCUGGGGUGGCAAUGCUGUAGGGCUGAGCUUGCAAUGGAACACUGGGGCAUUUGCAAUUUCAAAUGGAGGAGCUGGGGGGGCUGCAGCCCACCAGGUGCAUCCCUAUCUGGCAGCAGCACAGCACCCACCCUGCCCACACCCUCCCC
rnacentral:lncRNA from 1 species